GAUGAACGCUGGCGGCGUGCCUAACGCAUGCAAGUCGAGCGAUCUUCUUCGGAAGAGAGCGGCGGACGGGUGAGUAACGCGUGGGUAACCUGCCCUGUACACACGGAUAACAUACCGAAAGGUAUGCUAAUACGGGAUGACAUAUGAAAGUCGCAUGGCUUUUAUAUCAAAGCUCCGGCGGUACAGGAUGGACCCGCGUCUGAUUAGCUAGUUGGUAAGGUAAUGGCUUACCAAGGCGACGAUCAGUAGCCGACCUGAGAGGGUGAUCGGCCACACUGGAACUGAGACACGGUCCAGACUCCUACGGGAGGCAGCAGUGGGGAAUAUUGCACAAUGGGCGAAAGCCUGAUGCAGCAACGCCGCGUGAGCGAUGAAGGCCUUCGGGUCGUAAAGCUCUGUCCUCAAGGAAGAUAAUGACGGUACUUGAGGAGGAAGCCCCGGCUAACUACGUGCCAGCAGCCGCGGUAAUACGUAGGGGGCUAGCGUUAUCCGGAAUUACUGGGCGUAAAGGGUGCGUAGGCGGUCUUUCAAGCCAGAAGUGAAAGGCUACGGCUCAACCGUAGUAAGCUUUUGGAACUGUAGGACUUGAGUGCAGGAGAGGAGAGUAGAAUUCCUAGUGUAGCGGUGAAAUGCGUAGAUAUUAGGAGGAAUACCAGUAGCGAAGGCGGCUCUCUGGACUGUAACUGACGCUGAGGCACGAAAGCGUGGGGAGCAAACAGG
rnacentral:rRNA from 1 species